CAUUGAAAGCUCGACAAGCAAAGUGGAAGCAACAGCAAAACGCUGCUGCCAACAGCAGCCUAGCAAAGCCAAAUUAACAAAUUCAAAAUCAGAAAGAGUUCAAGUGCAAACAACCACGGAUGGCCAAAUGAGCCAAGGGCCGGUAGAUGCUGUAAACCAAGUUUUAAUAAUAAAUUAAAAAAAAAAAAUAUUAAAAAAAAUGUACAGUUAGGUUUGAAAAGUGUUAUAUGAAAAAUGCAUACAAAAAUGACAUCAACCAAAGAGUUGGUUUUGCUAUUUCCUUUUUGUUGUUGUUUUUUUUUUUUUUUUUGUUUUUUGCAAAACCCAAAAAUUGUCAAUCAACUAAAUUGUGACACAAUAUGUUUGAACAAAUUAAAGUGUGCGUGUGUUUUUUUUUCUCUCAUUUUUUUUCUAGAACAACAAAUGUCAUUAAGCAUUGCUGAAGCCUUUGUGAAAUAAGCAACAACAAUAACAAAAAAAAACAAAAUGAUUACUAUUGUCAGCUCCCACAAAAAAAAGUCAUAGAAAAUAAUGUCAAUUUCUGACAAAUUUCUUUGUUAUUUAAAAAAAACGAAAAAAAAAUAAACAAAAAAAUAAGCAACUGCUACAACAAAUGACUUCAAUCACCCAAAGCUAUGCUAAUUACAGCUAAAGGCAGUAGUCUGUCUAAUCAUCAGCGGCAAACAUUAUUAUUGCUUAAUAACCAACAUACGGUCAUCGGGUUUAAAUUAAAACAAACUCUCUGUGAUUGCUGCAGCCAACAAUACGUCUUGAGGGAAUCAAGAUAUUUGACUUAAAAUGAAUACAGAUAUCAUAACCUGCAAUAUGUAAACAAUAACAACAUUCUGAAUUAUAAAAGUAUUUCAAUCUGAGCUGCUGCCUUUUAACAGAUUUACUUUGCACUUGGGCGAAAGUAAUUGAAAAUAUGCCACACGUCACCAUGAAGCAAUGAAAUGAAAAUUCGAUUUACAAUCAAAGUGUGCGACAGAACGAAACGAAACGGAAGCGGCGGAUAUGGAAAACAUGGCUGCUAACUUAAUAACUACAAAAUCAAAUACAAUCGCACACCCGGACACGAUACUUACCCAAACAGAGACAUAAAGAGAAAUAAAAUAUAGUUACUAUACACUCAAACAUACAUAGAUACGCACGAGUAUGUGUGUAUAUAUGUGUGCAUAUACAACAACAAACACCGUUGCAAACAUAUGUCAAUGUGUACUCAAUGACGACAGCAACUCAUUAAGGCCUCUGUUAAAAUAAUGAUGGCUCUAUGCAAACAAACCAGAAAAUCGAAAACGAAAAACUCACCCCACCAUCCGCUACGGGUAUUGGUGGUAAACACCCCCGUACCGCCUGAAAUGAUGUCCUUAGUCAUAGUGAGAGUUGGUGCUGCACCAUUGGCCCCCACACCACCGCCGCCCAGCAUUCAUCCCAGCCAAUAUCAAGGCGAUUAUGAGGGCUGAUGCUCUGAUGCUGGCCCCAAACCAGAAAUGCAAUUUAAUGUCAAACGUUUAUGCGAAAGUGCAAAAGGAGGAGUGUUGACUGCCCAGCCAAGGCAACUGCGCAACUGCACUUGAACCUGAAACUGUUUCGCGGGGAGAUGCUUAUGUCCUUCUCCCUCCUUCCCUUUCUCCUGGUUCCACCAAUCAACAAAAGGUUAGGCUGUAUGGGGAAAUGCCAAUUGGGUGGUUUUUGCAAUCGGAAAAUGAAAGUAAAACUGAAAGUGCAAGUGGAACCAUUGCCAAACCAAAAGGCCAUAGAAGAGAGAGAGAGAGUAAGCCAAAAUAAAGCAAUUAGCAACAAAACAAAACGCUUUACCUGUGAAUGCAUUACCAAACACACACACAUACACAUAAAAAUCAAGAAGAAGAAAAAUUCACAAGACUUAAUUAUUUUCAAUUAAUACGAAUAUUUAUUAAAAGUGCUAAAAAUGCAUAGGUAUAUGUAUGUAUAUGUAUAUGUAUGCAUAUAUGUAAUUGCCAACGAAGAAGAAGAAGAAGAAAAAACUAUAAUAAUCGAAAGCAGCAAACACAAGGUAUGCAGUUAUUAAUUUAUAAAGUGAAAAUAAAGCAAAAACAAUAAUCAUACGAUAGAAAUUAAAAAAAAACUACCUGGUGAAAUGAGUGAAAAAGCUUUUCCUCUUUCCACCAGAGCAAAAGCUUUAGCCAUUAAACAGAGGACAGACAAAUAGUAUCUAUAAAGGUUCUUGUCUUUGCUAAGAAGCAAAGCUCAUUUUUAAACUAAAUUGGCCUUGUCUCGCCCAUGCUGCUGCUAUUGCUACAGACAAGGCGAAUAGCAUAAGAGCUUUUGGCUGUUAAACUGAAAUCUCUCUCACACA